AGAGUUUGAUCAUGGCUCAGAGCGAACGCUGGCGGCAGGCUUAACACAUGCAAGUCGAGCGGGCGCCGGUAGACGUCCGCGGGGGACGGGGGAGUAACGCGCGGAACCGUACCUUUAGCUGCGCAACGACGCAGGAUAACUUGUGCAAAGACCGGAUAAGCCCUUACAGGAAACGAAGUAUCGUGGAAAGAGCGCUCCGCGGCUGAUUACCUCGGAGGAGAGGCAACGGCUCACCAAGGCGACGAUCAGGAGCUGGUCUGAGAGGAUGAUCAACCACAUUGUGACUGAAAAACGGGCCAAACUCCUACGGGAGGGAGCACGCGGGCAAUAUUGCACCAUGAGCGAAAGCCUGAUCAACUCGUGCCGCGUGAGAGAUGAAGGCCCUACGACUGCACAGCUCUUUUGAGCGGUAAGAUAAUGACGGUACGGCAAGAAUAAGCCCCGGCUAACUUCGUGCCAGCAGCCGCGGUAAUACGAAGGGGGCCAGCGUUGCUCGGAAUCACUGGGCGUAAAGGGUUCGUAGGCGGGUCUUCAAGUCAGGAGUGAAAUCUUGGAGCUCAACUCCAGAACUGCUUCCAAUACUGAUGAUCUUGAGUUUGAGAGAGGCGAGUGGAACUGCGAGUGUAGAGGUGAAAUUCGUAGAUAUUCGCAAGAACACCAGUGGCGAAAGCGGCUCGCUGGCUCGAUACUGACGCUGAUGCACGAAAGCUAGGGGAGCAAACAGGAUUAGAUACCCUAGUAGUCC
rnacentral:rRNA from 1 species